rnacentral:rRNA from 1 species
GAUGAACGCUGGCGGCGUGCUUAACACAUGCAAGUCGAACGAUGAAGCCCAGCUUGCUGGGUGGAUUAGUGGCGAACGGGUGAGUAACACGUGAGUAACCUGCCCUUGACUCUGGGAUAAGCCUGGGAAACGGGGUCUAAUACUGGAUAUGACUUCUCAUCGCAUGGUGGGGGGUGGAAAGAUUUAUUGGUCUUGGAUGGACUCGCGGCCUAUCAGCUUGUUUGUGAGGUAAUGGCUCACCAAGGCGACGACGGGUAGCCGGCCUGAGAGGGUGACCGGCCACACUGGGACUGAGACACGGCCCAGACUCCUACGGGAGGCAGCAGUGGGGAAUAUUGCACAAUGGGCGCAAGCCUGAUGCAGCGACGCCGCGUGAGGGAUGACGGCCUUCGGGUUGUAAACCUCUUUCAGUAGGGAAGAAGCGAGAGUGACGGUACCUGCAGAAGAAGCGCCGGCUAACUACGUG